UAGUAGCCAACGGGGUUUGCCCUAGUAACGGCGAGUGAAGCGGCAACAGCUCAAAUUUGAAAUCUGGCCUCGGCCCGAGUUGUAAUUUGCAGAGGAAGCUUUAGGCGCGGCACCAACUGAGUCCCCUGGAACGGGGCGCCAUAGAGGGUGAGAGCCCCGUAUAGUUGGACGCCUAGCCUGUGUAAAGCUCCUUCGACGAGUCGAGUAGUUUGGGAAUGCUGCUCAAAAUGGGAGGUAAAUUUCUUCUAAAGCUAAAUACCGGCCAGAGACCGAUAGCGCACAAGUAGAGUGAUCGAAAGAUGAAAAGCACUUUGAAAAGAGGGUUAAAUAGCACGUGAAAUUGUUGAAAGGGAAGCGCUUGUGACCAGACUUGCGCCGGGCGGAUCAUCCGGUGUUCUCACCGGUGCACUCCGCCCGGCUCAGGCCAGCAUCGGUUCUCGCGGGGGGAUAAAGGCCUCGGGAACGUAGCUCCUCCGGGAGUGUUAUAGCCCGGGGCGCAAUGCCCUCGCGGGGACCGAGGUUCGCGCAUCUGCAAGGAUGCUGGCGUAAUGGUCAUCAGCGACCCGUCUUGAAACACGGACCAAGGAGUCAAGGUUUUGCGCGAGUGUUUGGGUGUCAAACCCGCACGCGUAAUGAAAGUGAACGUAGGUGAGAGCUUCGGCGCAUCAUCGACCGAUCCUGAUGUUUUCGGAUGGAUUUGAGUAGGAGCGUUAAGCCUUGGACCCGAAAGAUGGUGAACUAUGCUUGGAUAGGGUGAAGCCAGAGGAAACUCUGGUGGAGGCUCGCAGCGGUUCUGACGUGCAAAUCGAUCGUCAAAUCUGAGCAUGGGGCGAAAGACUAAUCGAAC
rnacentral:rRNA from 1 species